rnacentral:rRNA from 1 species
AUGGUCCGAAUCCGCGCAACCGAUGUGUACUUCAAGUUAACAACCGUCUACGGUCCCACUGACUCCGUGAGCAAAGAUUCCUUCUUCGCCGAGCUUGCCUCCCACAAGCCUAUGUCGGGCCUUGCUUGGCUCGCCAUUGGGGACUUCAACCAAAUCUACCGGGCGUGUGACAAAAACAAGAGAAAUGUAAAUCGGAGUAGAAUCAACCGUUUCCGCGCAAACCUGCAAUCGUGUGAACUCAAGGAAAUUCACCUUCAGAACAGGCGCUUCACUUGGAGUAAUGAGCGGGACAACCCAACUCUGUGCAAACUAGACUCCUUUUUCUGUAACACCGAGUGG